UACGUAGGGUGCAAGCGUUGUCCGGAAUUAUUGGGCGUAAAGAGCUCGUAGGCGGUCUGUCGCGUCUGCUGUGAAAACUCAGGGCUUAACCCUGAGCUUGCAGUGGGUACGGGCAGACUAGAGUGCGGUAGGGGAGACUGGAAUUCCUGGUGUAGCGGUGAAAUGCGCAGAUAUCAGGAGGAACACCGAUGGCGAAGGCAGGUCUCUGGGCAUUAAACUGACGCUGAGGAGCGAAAAGCAUGGGGGAGCGAACAGG
rnacentral:rRNA from 1 species